rnacentral:rRNA from 1 species
GAUGAACGCUGGCGGCGUGCCUAAUACAUGCAAGUCGAGCGAACAGAUGAGGAGCUUGCUCCUCUGACGUUAGCGGCGGACGGGUGAGUAACACGUGGAUAACCUACCUAUAAGACUGGGAUAACUUCGGGAAACCGGAGCUAAUACCGGAUAAUAUAUUGGACCGCAUGGUUCAAUAGUGAAAUACGGUUUUGCUGUCACUUAUAGAUGGAUCCGCGCCGCAUUAGCUAGUUGGUAAGGUAACGGCUUACCAAGGCAACGAUGCGUAGCCGACCUGAGAGGGUGAUAGGCAACACUGGAACUGAGACACGGUCCAGACUCCUACGGGAGGCAGCAGUAGGGAAUCUUCCGCAAUGGGCGAAAGCCUGACGGAGCAACGCCGCGUGAGUGAUGAAGGUAUUCGGAUCGUAAAACUCUGUUAUUAGGGAAGAACAAAUGUGUAAGUAACUAUGCACGUCUUGACGGUACCUAAUCAGAAAGCCACGGCUAACUACGUG